GAUGAACGCUGGCGGUGUGCCUAACACAUGCAAGUCGAGCGAAGCACUUUGCUUAGAUUCUUCGGAUGAAGAGGAUUGUGACUGAGCGGCGGACGGGUGAGUAACGCGUGGGUAACCUGCCUCAUACAGGGGGAUAACAGUUAGAAAUGACUGCUAAUACCGCAUAAGACCACAGCACCGCAUGGUGCAGGGGUAAAAACUCCGGUGGUAUGAGAUGGACCCGCGUCUGAUUAGCUAGUUGGUAAGGUAACGGCUUACCAAGGCGACGAUCAGUAGCCGACCUGAGAGGGUGACCGGCCACAUUGGGACUGAGACACGGCCCAAACUCCUACGGGAGGCAGCAGUGGGGAAUAUUGCACAAUGGGGGAAACCCUGAUGCAGCGACGCCGCGUGAGUGAAGAAGUAUUUCGGUAUGUAAAGCUCUAUCAGCAGGGAAGAAAAUGACGGUACCUGACUAAGAAGCACCGGCUAAAUACGUGCCAGCAGCCGCGGUAAUACGUAUGGUGCAAGCGUUAUCCGGAUUUACUGGGUGUAAAGGGAGCGUAGACGGAUGGGCAAGUCUGAUGUGAAAACCCAGGGCUCAACCCCGGGACUGCAUUGGAAACUGUUCAUCUAGAGUGCUGGAGAGGUAAGUGGAAUUCCUAGUGUAGCGGUGAAAUGCGUAGAUAUUAGGAGGAACACCAGUGGCGAAGGCGGCUUACUGGACAGUAACUGACGUUGAGGCUCGAAAGCGUGNGGAGCAAACAGG
rnacentral:rRNA from 1 species